ACUAUCAACCACGAAGUCCCCAGGAUAAAACAACUCAGAUCACUGUAUCGGAGUUCUACUGCACUAUAGAAAACCGUUCUAGAAUUACACCCACAGUAUGACAGUCUGAUGACUACCAGUCGUAAUAUGGUACUAAGACCAUUCAAAAGAAAUAGAAGAAGUGAGUAAGGAAAGUGAGAAGUGAGAAAAGCCUCAGAUACGAAGAACUUUUUGUGUGUUUUUUCAACUGAGGAGAACACUAUAUUUAUAGAUGAAAUUCGUAACUGGAUCAGAGAAAAAGGUGCGAUCCAUUAGGUCUGACUCACUAAACGUGUGUAAUGAUACUUAGGAUUUGACCACAGAAACGUGCGCCACAAUUUGUUUGACCACCAAAAUGAGUGCCACGUUUCGUUUGACCACAAUACGUGCCCUUAGACUUGACUUAGGUUUUUGACCGGGCAAUAAUAGAUACACGAGAUCAAUAAUUAGGGAUGUUGAAUGUUGACUCGGCCCGGCGGGUCAGAUGGACAGCGGCGACGCGCGCGUGUGGUGGUCAAUUUUGCUUGCAUGCUCCCUCCUUUACAAAAUUGGGUACCCCUUGGGGCACACCCCAAGUACCAUACCUCCACCUUAUAUACCCUACUAGUGUGUGAUAUCCCUCCUAUGUGGAACUUCCUUAUUUUUCAAUUCACAACAACACUAGCUCUCAUAAAUGUCAUCAUUAUUUCCAACAAACUUCCAUUAAAAUCAUCAUCAUUUCCAACAUCUGUAAUCAACACCAGAAGCUACAAUUGUCUAUCUCGGUAUCUAUUUGUAAUUAUUUUGAAUGCGUUGCAAACAUGCAAUAUGGCAGCUAAUUUUUUUUAAAAAAAUUCAUGAAUCACGAGACAUGUAAACAAAAGCUGUCGGUUUCUUCUUGAUUUUGAGCAACAAGUCAAGUGUGCAUUAGUCGGUCUUGCAUCAGAUAAGCAUCCUUUUGGUAGCCAAGAAGUUAAUGUGUCAUCUCUUGGAUGGGCAAUGUCAGUAGUCUCAUCUAGAGAAUUCCGGUUACAUGGGGACUGCUUUGGACAAUCAUGCUCUCAUUUUACAACUUUGUCAUGUCAAGACUGAUGGUAAAGUACAAAAUAGAGUUGAGAAAUACAAGAGUUCAACAAAGUUGCUUGUGAAAAAUGUUGCUUUUGAGGCAAUAGAGGAGGAUCUGAGACAAUUGUUUUGCCCGUUUGGCCAGAUAAAUACUUUUAAAAGUGAUAAUUUGAUCCAAUUGCUGCAAGAAUAUGUACAUUUAGUCGUUUGGUGCAAGUAUUCAAAUAUUUCCCUUUCACUUAUGUUUGAUGGCUCCAAACCGUGUAGAUUAAAAGCCUAAGGUUUCCAAUGAAGUUUGGAAAUCAUAGAGGCUUUGCUUUUGCGGAGUAUGUUACUCAACAAGAGGCACAAAAUGCUCUUACAGCACUUUCAAGCACCCAUUUAUAUGGCAGACAUUUGGUAAGUGAACCUAAGUUAUGGAUUUUUGAAAUUUUAUUUAGGCAAUGCUUUAAUUUCCCCAAUUUUUAAGUGGUGUCAAUAAUUUCUAUUUACACUGCAAUAUAUUUGAGAAACAAUGGUCCUUACUAUUUUCAAGUGAUAGAGAGAGCGAAAGAAGGUGAGAGUCUGGAGGAACUGCUGCUCAAUUCGAUUCGAUUUUGUCUAUAAUUACAUUAGUGUUAUAGUUCUACUUAUUUGUUGUGACAAUGCUACGAUUCAAUUGAUAUUUAGUUGAUUUAUUAAUUGUUAUAAUGAAGGAAGUGUGAAAUUUAGUUAAAUUUUGAAUA